rnacentral:pre_miRNA from 1 species
GGUCUCCCUCUGCAGGGCAAUUGAUCGCGGGGCUCCCAGAUCAAUAGUCCUGCAGAGGGAGGCC